rnacentral:rRNA from 1 species
GACGAACGCUGGCGGCGUGCCUAAUACAUGCAAGUCGAACGAACUCUGGUAUUGAUUGGUGCUUGCAUCAUGAUUUACAUUUGAGUGAGUGGCGAACUGGUGAGUAACACGUGGGAAACCUGCCCAGAAGCGGGGGAUAACACCUGGAAACAGAUGCUAAUACCGCAUAACAACUUGGACCGCAUGGUCCGAGUUUGAAAGAUGGCUUCGGCUAUCACUUUUGGAUGGUCCCGCGGCGUAUUAGCUAGAUGGUGGGGUAACGGCUCACCAUGGCAAUGAUACGUAGCCGACCUGAGAGGGUAAUCGGCCACAUUGGGACUGAGACACGGCCCAAACUCCUACGGGAGGCAGCAGUAGGGAAUCUUCCACAAUGGACGAAAGUCUGAUGGAGCAACGCCGCGUGAGUGAAGAAGGGUUUCGGCUCGUAAAACUCUGUUGUUAAAGAAGAACAUAUCUGAGAGUAACUGUUCAGGUAUUGACGGUAUUUAACCAGAAAGCCACGGCUAACUACGUGCCAGCAGCCGCGGUAAUACGUAGGUGGCAAGCGUUGUCCGGAUUUAUUGGGCGUAAAGCGAGCGCAGGCGGUUUUUUAAGUCUGAUGUGAAAGCCUUCGGCUCAACCGAAGAAGUGCAUCGGAAACUGGGAAACUUGAGUGCAGAAGAGGACAGUGGAACUCCAUGUGUAGCGGUGAAAUGCGUAGAUAUAUGGAAGAACACCAGUGGCGAAGGCGGCUGUCUGGUCUGUAACUGACGCUGAGGCUCGAAAGUAUGGGUAGCAAACAGGAUUAGAUACCCUGGUAGUCCAUACCGUAAACGAUGAAUGCUAAGUGUUGGAGGGUUUCCGCCCUUCAGUGCUGCAGCUAACGCAUUAAGCAUUCCGCCUGGGGAGUACGGCCGCAAGGCUGAAACUCAAAGGAAUUGACGGGGGCCCGCACAAGCGGUGGAGCAUGUGGUUUAAUUCGAAGCUACGCGAAGAACCUUACCAGGUCUUGACAUACUAUGCAAAUCUAAGAGAUUAGACGUUCCCUUCGGGGACAUGGAUACAGGUGGUGCAUGGUUGUCGUCAGCUCGUGUCGUGAGAUGUUGGGUUAAGUCCCGCGACGAGCGCAACCCUUAUUAUCAGUUGCCAGCAUUAAGUUGGGCACUCUGGUGAGACUGCCGGUGACAAACCGGAGGAAGGUGGGGAUGACGUCAAAUCAUCAUGCCCCUUAUGACCUGGGCUACACACGUGCUACAAUGGAUGGUACAACGAGUUGCGAACUCGCGAGAGUAAGCUAAUCUCUUAAAGCCAUUCUCAGUUCGGAUUGUAGGCUGCAACUCGCCUACAUGAAGUCGGAAUCGCUAGUAAUCGCGGAUCAGCAUGCCGCGGUGAAUACGUUCCCGGGCCUUGUACACACCGCCCGUCACACCAUGAGAGUUUGUAACACCCAAAGUCGGUGGGGUAACCUUUUAGGAACCAGCCGCCUAAGGUGGGACAGAUGAUUAGGGUGAAG